AGAUUGGUCAGGUCCCUAAAUGCAGGCGCAGCUAAUAUUUAAUCAGCAUCUACUAUGGAUAGGCCACUGUGAAGGGCGAUUUUCACACCUGAUCCAUCACAACCCUGCAAGGUAGGUAUUAUGAGCCCAACUGGACAGAGAAGGAAGUUGAGUCUUGAAGUUAAAUUUCAUUGUGAAGAUCACACAAGAGAAGUCAAGAUCUGAACUCAAGUCUAAUGUCCAAAGCUCUGAGCUUUCUAACACACUACUCUGGGUUCUUCCUAGCAGAGUGGGGGCUGUCCGUUGGAUCUGUGAGAAGAGGAUCUCCAUGAAGACCUGUUGGAGAACCUCCACAAAGGGCAUUUACCCUCUGCCUCCUUCCCCAGCUUAGAUCUCAGAAGUUGCCCAUAUUUCCUUCUCUCCUCAUUUGCUUCAUAUGAAAUCUGGAGCCUGUUUUCAUUAUUUUCAUUCCCAGUCUGAACACUUCUUCCAUCCCAAACCCCUACUUCUGUUCCAUCGUUAUGAAAACACCUGUCUUCCACAAUCUGGUCUUCUAACAAGUUGUGUUGGGAAAAGGCAGUGCCCGCUGACCUCGGUGCGAAUUAAAACGCAUCAAAGAGUCCGAGUCUUAGAGUUGUCAGACCUCCGUCUCCAUGAGGAGGAACUCAAUUUUCACUCAUACCCCAGCAAGAGAUUAGCAGCUUGAAAUCACUUUGACAGUGUCGGUUGCUCUAUUGCAUACCACAGGGAAUUUUAAUUCCAGCCUGUGAAAUUGUAAUUGCUUCUUGAGGAGAAGUGAGGAAUCCUGGGUAAUGGCCACAGCCAAGCUCAAUGUCAGAGUUGCCAGUUGCUGCCACAUCAGAUAUUACUUGCUGUUAUUCAAAAAUCACUCCAGGUUUCCAUAUGGGAAGUUGCACUGGGGAGUGAAAGAAAAUUAACAGAAACUGUCAGCUGUUCAGAACGGCACAGACAGCAGUGUGACAGAGGUGGGUGACCUCCCAUCAAAAAAAGGUAACUUUUUCCCUUUUUGGGGUGAAGAUAAAAGAGUUUCACAAACAAAUUUCAUUACUUAAGGUUUGCAGCUAAAUGAUGUCAUUAUUAAGCAAAAAAUCAUCUGGUCCAUGGCAUGAUAAGAUUAAAGCUGCCAAUUUCUAUUCACUCCUUCCUGGAAAGAGUGGGGCGGUGGGGGGAAGUGGCCCAAAAGAGUAAUUAAAACAAUGAAGAUAGCAAGUCCAUGUCAGGUUGAUGUUCACAAUGGAUUAAAAUUACCUGCUAUCAAA
rnacentral:lncRNA from 1 species